UUUUUCUCUCAGGAUUGUAUGAUAUACCUAAAGCCAGAGAUCAAUCAAAUAAUCAGGAAAUAUUAACAAAUAAUUACCUAUAUCAUCAAACAGGUUUAUACUGGUAAUUUCCAGUCUUUCAUCUGACUGCAAGGCAUAUAAGGAUUCAUUCUACUUAAGGUGAAAUUUUUAGGCAACAUAAACAUUUUCAACCAGCACUCUAGUGCAUGAAGGUCGACCAUGACAAAUGACUUCCAUUCUUUCAAUAAUAUUGGUAUGUAAUUUUUCGUUAAUCUUUUUAUUUUUGACCAUUAUUCUCUUUUCUUUAUAUUUUUGCACAUUCACAUAAUUUUUUAUUCUUUAUAUUUUUGAACAUAUCAAUUCUUUAUUCUAUAUAUUUUUGCACAUUACAAUUCUUUAUCCUUAUAAUUAUUCACAAUUCACAGUUCUUUUUCUUUAUAUUUUUGGACUUAUUUAUUAUUUUUUCUUUAUAUUUUAUAUUUAAGCACAUAUUGUCGUUAGAUCUUUAUUCUUUAUAUUUUUGCACAUUAAAUGAUUAUAAUUCUUUAUCAUUAUUUUUUUGCAAAUAAUAAUUCUUUAUUCUUAAUAUUUUUGCACAUUAUAAUUCUUUAUUCUUUAUUUUUUUGUGCACAUUAUAAUUCUUUAUUUUUUAUUUUUUUUAUUCUUUAUUUUUUGGCACAUUAAAAUUCUUUAUCUUAAUACUUUUUGCACAUUAUAAUUCUUUAUUCUUUAUUUUUUGGCACAUUAAAAUUCUUUAUUCUUUUGCACAUUAUAAUUCUGUAUUCUUUAUUUUUGGCACAUUAAAAUUCUUUAUCUUAAUACUUUUUGCACAUUAUAAUUCUUCAUUUGUAAUUGUUGCACAUUAUAUAUUCUUUUUAUUCUUAAUAAUUUAUUGCACAUUAAAAUUCUUUAUUAGUUAUAUUUUUGCACAUAUAAUCGUUCUUUAUUUUUUACAUUUUUCACAUUUUUCUCUUUUCUUUAUAUUUUUGUCCAUUAUUCUCCAUAUGAUCUCUAUUCCCUAUAAUUUUACUGGUUAAAAUGCACCUUUUAAUUUUCUAUCCUAUAUCUUUUGGCAUAUCAUUUUUUUCUCUUUUCUUUAUUUAUUUGCUCAAUCUUUCUGUAGUAUUGACCCAUUAUUCUCUAUUCUGUUAAAUCCUGAAUCCUGCUCCCAUGAAUUUCUUUGCUUAUUUUGUCAAUUAUUAGACUGGAAUCUGAAGUUAAGUCUUUCAAUCAUAGUGUCUACUAAAUUCUCAAAAACAGAUAGUCCAAUUUCAACCUCGGGGAAAAAAGAAAAAACAAAAAAAAUUAAAUUGAGAUAUAUAUGCAAAUUUAUGAAAAAGUAUUUUUGCCCUUUAAUUGACUUUGGGGAGACUUUACUUAAAAGUAAGAAUUUUGUUUAAGAUAAUGGUUAAGUCUACAGCCUUGUGUGAAAAGUUUAAAAUCUUUAUGCACUCAAAAAAAUCUAAAAAGUGCAUGAAAACCAAAUGUCUUUCUAUCAAAACUGUGACAACUCGUUCAUCUAAAACACUAGCAAUAAACCUAUUUAAUACCAUAACUUUGACAUUUUAUUCAAGAUUAAUUUCUAACUAAAAUGCCUUAUAAAGUUGUCAACCUUACAACACUGACAACAGGCCUUGAGAAAGAGAAAUUACAUGUCUCUGGUGCAUCUUUAAUGAUUCGUCAAAACAAUAAAUGAUGAAAUAGCUUUUGAUUUAAAUCCAAAAUAGAAAUAAAUGUCUCCUGGGUUGAAAUUUACGACUUUCCCUUUUUUAACGAAAAUAUUACAUAUCCUAAAUGUAUAAUAUUAGGAUAAAGCACUUCCGUUAUAUUCAGUGUAAACGGCCCCUCUAGGACAAUGAACUGAUAAUUGGCACUUUGCUACAAGAAUAAAGAUUUGUUGAUUUCUCUGCUUAAUUGAAGCUUUGAAUUAAAUCCUUUUUUAUCCUUUUCCAGUCGUGUAAUUGAAAAUAAUCAAUCUAAAUAUCUUGCAUUCAGUUCCGACAUUAAAUACUAAUGGUAAUGAAGUAAUAUCUGC
rnacentral:lncRNA from 1 species